rnacentral:rRNA from 1 species
GAUGAACGCUGGCGGCGUGCCUAAUACAUGCAAGUCGAGCGAACGGACGAGAAGCUUGCUUCUCUGAUGUUAGCGGCGGACGGGUGAGUAAUACGUGGAUAACCUACCUAUAAGACUGGGAUAACUUCGGGAAACCGGAGCUAAUACCGGAUAAUAUUUUGAACCGCAUGGUUCAACAGUGAAAGACGGUCUUGCUGUCACUUAUAGAUGGAUCCGCGCUGCAUUAGCUAGUUGGUAAGGUAACGGCUUACCAAGGCAACGAUGCAUAGCCGACCUGAGAGGGUGAUCAGCCACACUGGAACUGAGACACGGUCCAGACUCCUACGGGAGGCAGCAGUAGGGAAUCUUCCGCAAUGGGCGAAAGCCUGACGGAGCAACGCCGCGUGAGUGAUGAAGGUCUUCGGAUCGUAAAACUCUGUUAUUAGGGAAGAACAUAUGUGUAAGUAACUGUGCACAUCUUGACGUUACCUAAUCAGAAAGCCACGGCUAACUACGUG